AUUUGCCCAUGGUAUCUGAUGUCCAGUCUUGUUUUGUAGCUGGACAUUUCGUUUUGAAGGGCAGAAAAAAAUUGUGAACAGUACUUUGCGACACAGUUAGCUGGCCUUCUAUGAGCUUUCUGUUACUUUUACUCUGUUUACAUUU
rnacentral:snoRNA from 1 species